rnacentral:rRNA from 1 species
UGGGGAAUCUUGGACAAUGGGCGCAAGCCUGAUCCAGCCAUGCCGCGUGUGUGAAGAAGGUCUUCGGAUUGUAAAGCACUUUAAGUUGGGAGGAAGGGCAGUAACCUAAUACGUUGCUGUCUUGACGUUACCGACAGAAUAAGCACCGGCUAACUCUGUGCCAGCAGCCGCGGUAAUACAGAGGGUGCAAGCGUUAAUCGGAAUUACUGGGCGUAAAGCGCGCGUAGGUGGUUUGUUAAGUUGGAUGUGAAAUCCCUGGGCUCAACCUGGGAACUGCAUUCAAAACUGACAAGCUAGAGUAUGGUAGAGGGUGGUGGAAUUUCCUGUGUAGCGGUGAAAUGCGUAGAUAUAGGAAGGAACACCAGUGGCGAAGGCGACCACCUGGACUGAUACUGACACUGAGGUGCGAAAGCGUGGGGAGCAAACAGGAUUAGAUACCCAAGUAGUCCCUGAGCGGGCUGGCAAGGCGCAU